GUGCCAGCAGCCGCGGUAAGACGGAGGGUGCUAGCGUUGUUCGGAAUGACUGGGCGUAAAGGGCGCGUAGGCGGCUCGUGAAGUCGGGUGUGAAAGCCCGGGGCUCAACCCCGGAACGGCAUCCGAUACUGGCGGGCUUGAGACCGGGAGAGGAGGGUGGAAUACCCAGUGUAGAGGUGAAAUUCGUAGAUAUUGGGUGGAACACCGGUGGCGAAAGCGGCUCUCUGGCCCGGAUCUGACGCUGAGGCGCGAAAGCGUGGGGAGCAAACAGGAUUAGAUACCCUGGUAGUCC
rnacentral:rRNA from 1 species